ACCUUCCCAAGAACAAAGGCAAUUAAGCGUUUAAUGUCAUUUCACUUUUAUAACAUGCAUAUUGACAGAUUGACAGGAAAUUAAAAAAAAUGACCAAUGGUAUGGUAAGGAACUUUUGCAUAUGUCAAUGGAGAUAUAUUCCGUCUAAAAAUAGUAAAAGUUGCAGUAUCCCACCAGUAGCCGUGUAUGGAUGUCUUUCAAGCUUUCGGAAGUAGCGAGCACAUUUUAACUAUGCACAAAAAAUUAGAUGCUUGUUGUUUUUCUUUUACAACUUGACUAGGAAUUGUACGGCUAAUGGUUUACAAAGGCAAGUGGAGUGUUUUGUGCGUGCGUAAAAAAUGGUUUUAAUGAAUCCGCUCUAGAUGUUCCCUUGUACCAAAUCAUGCUAUCUUGACCAGUCCCUGCAGAUAAAGCCUUAAACGUCAUCGUUUCUGUGUUUAAAGCACAGUACAUUUAUUUAGAUAGAUGAAUUGAGUAUCGACAAAUCACUAAGAAAUUUCACAUACCAAGGAGGAAAUCCUUUAUAAUUAUAAGUCUGUUAUAUGUUCCUUUGGGAUUUCAAACAAAGUCGUAGAACUUGAUCUUCCAUAACUGUAUUGGAUACCUAAACUACAGUAGUGUCCUGGCAAACAGCCUUAUACUGCUGGUUCUCCAUAAUGCUCCACAAAACCUCUUUCGUAAUUAUUAACAUCAACGCUAUCAGCAAUAAAAGCCGGACUUCAAAGCUAUUGUGAAACUAACUAUUCUAGAGGUGGCGUGAAUCGGAUGUGAAUUCUAACAAAUUCCAAAGAUCUUUUAGAGUGCAUACAAUAUAAGACUUUUUCAUCUUGCUAUAGUAUUAAAACAUUUGACUUUUCUACACUUUACACAAGUAUUCCCCAUUUCAAACUUAAAGACAAAUUGAAAGAGUUGGUCCUAUUUUGUUUUAUAAAAACGAAUGGCCAACGUAACGUAGAUACAAGUAUCUUGUCUCUGAAACUGACAUUAUCAAAAUGCUUGAUUUCUUGAUUGACAACAUAUUUGUUACGUUUGAAGGACGUAUUUUUUUAACAAACAAUUGGUUUUUCCACGAUAACAACUGUGCUCCUCCUCUUGCCGACUUGUGCCUUUAUUCAUGUGAGACUGACUUCAUACAGGAACUUCUUAGAAGAAAAAAAAGCAGUUAGCAGUAUCCUUUAACUCUACGUUUUGCUAUAUCGAUGAUGUUCUCUCACUAAAUAAUUCAAAAUUUGGUGACUAUGUUGAACGCAUCUAUCCCAUCGACAAAUGAAAAUAACACGUUAUAUAAAUUUAUCAGGAACGCUCAAAGCCAUAUUUUUAAAACUUAAGAUAAAGGAUACACCAGAUACAGUUAAGUCUGCCUCAUUUCUUGACUUACAUCUAGAAAUUGACAAUAAGGGCCGUUUGAAAACAAUAUUUUUUCGACAACAGAGAUGAUUCCAGCGUCCCAAUUGAUAAUUUUCCAUUUCUAUGUAGCAACAUUCCAGCAGCGCCUGCAUACGGAGUGUGUAUCUUCCAGUUGAUAAGAUAUUCUAAGGAUUGUAUUUCCUAUCAUGAUUUCUUUAAAAGAUGGUUGCUGCUGACAAGGAAGCUACCUGUAUAUCAGUUGUUAUUUACAGUCCGUUUGUAUGUAUACUGGCGCUACUAUAAAUGCCUGUACCAAGUCAGGAAUAUGACAGUUGUUGUCCAUUCGUUUGAUGUGUUUGAGCUUUUGAUUUUGCCAUUUGAUUAGGGACUUUCCUUUUUAAAUGUUCCUCGGAGUUCAGUAUUUUUGUGAUUUUACUUUUUGUUUAUGUUGUAAAUCAGUGUUUUUGUUGUUCCGUUGAUUUCGUAUUAUAGUUGAUGUGUUUCCCUCGGUUCUAUUUUGUUGCCCGCAUUUGUUUUUGCUUGAUCGAAUUAUUACUAUUGAAUAGCGGUAUUCUACUGUUGCCUUUAUUUAAACCAAGAGUUCCAAGUGAUGGUGAAGUUGCAAUCAUGCCUUCAUAAAUUUUCUGGACGACAUCACGAGUUUGUUGACCGUUGUGGAAUAUCCGUUUCACAUAUUAUAUCGGAUAUGUUCCUUCAAUCCUAUCCCCUUUUUUCCCAAAUGUGAUCUCUUUACCCUUCCGGAGCACCGGAGAUCAACCCCAGGUUUUUAAGGGUUCGUUUUCCUCAAUCUUUAGUUUCCUAUGUUGUUUUGUGUGUAUUGUUGUUUGUCUGUUGGUCUAUUUCUAACUUUAGCAAUGACGUUUAUCUUUCGCAUCUCUUUUAUUGUUUGAUGUUGUUUUGAUUCGUUUUAAGGAGACGGGCAUUGUACUGUGCAAUAUUUUUGACGAUUCCCCUUAAAUAAAGAUAUGAUUUACAUACAAUUCGAUUGGCAUGAUCAUAAGUUUUGAAGUUAACGAACAUAACAAGAGGCGAUACUAUAAUGUAAGUUAAGUUUAGACGUACAGCAUGACAAAAAUUAUGGCGGAAAGUGAAUUUAAGGGUAAUGCCAGAUUAUUUUCAUCUUUUCGAAUCUUAUAUAAGAAGUUUGCUUAAUAACGAACAGGUCGACAAGUAUAGGGACACAGUUGGUUACCAUGUCAAUUGUCUAUUAAAAAAUAUGGAUGUAUUUAUAAAUUAUAAACACAAAAAGACAGGAUUGUGGUAACGUCAAAUGCCAUGAUUGCUUUAAUUUCUUGUUUAAUGUUACGGAGAACAAAAGAUAAAAAAAAAAGAAAAACCUCAAUAGUAACCAUUUCAAACAAAAAUGUGUAUCAGGACAAGAAAAUAAUAUUUUGAGUCUCAAAAUAUGUACAUUUGUAUGCCGUAAAUGCAUGUCACAUGUUUUUGUUUAGUAUCCUUAUAAAGUAAAAGUUUGCGGAAAUGUU